GCAGUCUCAAGUUGCUACUCAAGUUCUAGAUAAGACAAACUAAAAGAAAGGUAACCCUAGAACCUAAAAGUGCUAUCCUUCUUGGUUGAUGUUUAAGCUCAUGCUGCCAAGGAGCAAGUAAAGCUCACCUUGACAUGAAAUAGAGAAGAGAAAACAACAAAUGUUGCUAUAAGAGUUGAUGUUCAUCUGAAAAACACAUAAAGCCAAAGAGCCAAGGGCAUACUAAAAGAUUUUCUAUUUGGGUGCUCUACUAGGAAUUCGAAAAGAUGGAGUUACUUCACUUCCAAUGGAGAUUUAUUCAGUUUUUACUUGUGACUUAGAAUCAUGGUAGAUAAACAUAUUUGAGUGUUUAGAAGUCUCAACAUUCAUGAGUUCAUUGAUCUUUAUACCUGAUUCAUUAUACUGCAACAAACAACAUAUAAUGGCAAAGGGAACAGAUUUAUUACUCUUGUUAACUCCAUUUAUAACUUUUGAACUAAAUGAGCAUCCAUGUGUCGGUCAUUAGUUAAAGCCCAUUAAUCGUUGAUCAGUAACUAAGUCUUCAUGGCUAGUCACGGUAGACAAUUUUUGGCUUAAGCUUUAAAGUAUCAAUUUACAGAAGGAGAUAAUUGCCUCUUUGACAAGGAUUUCAAUGCAGCUCUCUUCCUUUAAUAGAUUUAUGGAAGAUGACUUUUUGCCUCAUGGUAACAUUUGUGAAUCCAAGCUUAAGAUUUGAUGUAUUAAUUUACAGAAGCAGAUAACUGUCUUUUUUCUGAGUUGACUAGCAGUGGAAAAAAGACCCUUUUCUUUUAGUGAUUAUUGGAAGAUGACAAUAUGGCUCAAGGAAACAAUCACAUGGGCAAGCAAGUUUUAGCAUCUUAUCUUGAUGAAAUGUAGCUUACUGAUGCUGAUUUCCUGAUAAUUAGUGCUUUUCAACAACAAAAGGUUAGCUAGAUGAAAUAGAUAAACGUUUACCCAUAACAUUGGUUUAGUCACUGCCUGAUUCAUGAUUAGUGUUACUAUCUUAUUCAUAUAAUGAUACCUCUUACUGUUGCAAUUCUCAUUGCAGGAAUUAUACUAAUGCACAGUAUUUGAAGAAUCUUGCUUAAGCGUUUGCAGUAUAUUAAACACAAAGUCACUGACAUACCAGGAAUGCUCGAAAAGCAGAUUGAAUAACUAUGGCAGCCCACUCCUCUCUCAUGCUCUGUUGAGUUUGAUAGGCCAAUUGUCUAUUUUCUGAUAUGGUGGGAGAGGAAGCGUAGUUUGAAUUUGACUGAAUGUUAGCAUUGCCAGCAUAUGGAGCCACUGCAGGAGCAAACUCAUCUUCCAUCAUAACACAAUCAAGGCCAACAGGGUUUUUCUUCUGGCUGCACAAACUAUUGGCUGAGGCACUUUUCUGCAAUGAUCUCAGAUGAUGAGACAGAGAAGUACUCAAAUAGAGAUAUGCACAAACAAAAACAGAACACCAUUUUCAAGGAUAAAUUAGGAAAUGGAAAGUAGUAUAUUAUUAUUUUAGAGAAACUGAUUAUAAGGAACUGAUUAUAUAUAUUACUUUUCAUCAUUUAGAUCUAUGGUUACUCCCUGUAUUAUAUUGACUUGCCGUAUUAUAUGUUGCUUCCAGCCAACAUAAUGUCUAUCCUUGCAACUAAAAGUCACAAACUGAGGCAUAACAGGUGAUGUGUCACAAGUAGAGUUUGCCCCAAAAUGCAUUUGCCAAUAUGUCUGCAUUAUCUUUCAAGAAACUUUAUAAGAGUAAACAAACUAUUGGCGUGUGAACUGGCUGGACAGCAUUUAAUACAGUCCAGAUUUACAAACUUAGUCUAAUACUUAAUGGACACGAAACAAGUAGUGGUUUAAAAAUUUAACAAGACUCGUCUCAGAUUUGAAAACCAUUUAGUUGAGCUAGUUGACAUCAUGUACUGUGGAGAUCAUAGCUAUAUUGAAGACCUAGCUCCAAGUUCCUUUGGGACAAUAGGGCUACUGCCGUGCCGACCAAAUGGUACACUAGUGCUGAGCUCAAUCUUAGUUCAGGUUGUGCAGCCAAUCCAUUGACAACACCAUUCUUGACACUGUUCUCCUUUUUCCAGGCUUAAGAUCAAACAGAUAAGAAAAUUGAUUGUUAAAUAGUCCAUGUUAUGUGACCCCAACACUAUUGGCAUAUGUUAUUUCAUCAAGGAUAAGUUUGGAAACAGAGCAUCUAGUAUUGAGGUAAGCAUAUCUAUAAAAUCAGUGCCAUAGUAAGACUCUCAAAGAUAGGUCAGUCAACUCAAAGUAGAAGAGCAUGAAACAAUUUUCUUGGAACUUUGUAUUAUGACCAUACAUGCAAAAGAAAAGGUCUACUCACAUUUUUGCCAUUUUCUGGACGUUGUAAAUUCUCUUGUUUCCUUAUGCCAACCAAUGAUCUAAGCCAUUUUGAAGAAAUACCCAUGAUAUGUUUCAGUUAAGCUUCAGAUGACAAUGACCUGCCAAAAAAAUGACAAUAAAGUUAGGAUAUAGUCAAAAGUUUGCUAUUCUUCUCUGCCAUGACAGAUGACAGAUAUGAGCAUCAAAUAUAUCAAAUCAGAGUGCUAGUUAGGAGAUCAUAUACCUACCUAAAGUUCAGAACCAAUUUUGUGGCAGAACUAACAAAGUUACAAAAAGAAUGGCAUAAUUGCAAAAAGAAAGCAAACUGCAAAUUUUAUGUGACUUGAAUACUUCAAGCUGAAACUCAUUUGUUGGUAUUAAAACUAAGAUUGUCAAAUCAAGAUUAAAAUUGAGAUUGGCAUGAGGAUUAGGAUCAAGAUUCAGCCAGAUCCUGAAAGGGUUGGAUUAGUUUUUCUCGGAGUAAUAUAAAUUAGCUGAAAAUUAAUCAAAAUCCAUUAGAGAACUUUUUGAACAAAUUGGAAAUUAGACAAAGUUAGCUGUAAUCAACCAGAAACUGAUUGCAAUCAACCAAGACUGGCUGAUUUUUCAAAUUCUUUCAAUGUUCUAGUUUCCAUUCUGACAAAUGAACCAUGAUGCUAAGCGUGAAUCAUCACCCUUAAAGCUAAUCAAACUAAAUAUGAAGACAACUUGGGCAGUACCAUCCAACAACAUGACACUAGAAUUGUCUGGUGCAGAUGCACUAGCUUUUGGUACAAAGAUAAUAUCUGAUGAAAUUCCUCCGCUAUAAAAAGUUCUCCUGGAUCGAAAUCAUCAGUAUUUUGGAAAAUCAAGUCAGCUGCAUGGAAUUGUUACUGUGGAAACACGUACUCGAUGCAACAAACUCUAUUUUAGGGUUGGGUUAAUUUAUGUUAACGUCCAUAAUCAUCUUAUUAGCUAAUCUUAUAUUUCUGGACUUUUUGUUCAAUUUGUUUUAAUCUUACUUUUACAUUAUAUAUAGUCCAAUACAAAGUGUUUUUGGUCCUUUUUGAGCCGAUAUAGGAGUCAAAAUUGAGAAGUGAUUAAUUAGAGUUAAGACUAAUACACCUUGCUAAAGACUUGGACUUCAGUCAGAGGCCACCUUCCACCUCCUUGAAGCCAUCUCAGUAAGUCCCAAAACCUAACUCUAGGCUAAUAGGAUUCCAUGGUACAUUAAUAAUGGAUUAUUUCUGUCAAAGGAAGAGGUUAUGAGUAAUUUUGUUAUGAAACAACAAUGUGUUCUCUUGCUGAAUAAUAGCCCACCUUGAGCCCUUCUGAGAUUCAGCUUAUGCUAGAGAAGGCUCAGUCAUACCACAAGAGAAACAUUUACAUUUUUGGUUGUGUCAUAAAGGGAAGCCUUCUAUUUAAGGAUAGCUUUCAACCGUGCUCUCCUGUUUUGCUUUUUCCUGAUGAGUAACGAUAUGUACUGCGACUCUAAGUGUGAUUUAAAGCACAAAUCAUCAACGUAUCAUGCAUCAAGGUGGUGAAAGGGGCUGGGGUUGGAGAUGGUGUGCUUUUGGAAGUGCACCACGUCCAUGAAUCAUGACUUUAGUCGUAUAAUGAGCUUCGUUAUGCAGCAUUUUUGUUUUCCACCAGCAUAUUUAGUGUAUUUUUAAUCAGUUAUCACUAUCUUUCCAUUCUUCAGACAAAGAGCCUCUAAAUGAAGAAAAAUCUGAUCCAUGGGGAUCAAGAAAGGUUCUGUUAUUGAAGGAAGUUUUCAGUGCACAUGAUAAAAUCGGUCAUUUAUCAAAAAGACCAACUGAUAUGGACUACUUGGUUAAGAAAGAAUCUAAAUAAAUAUGGAAGGGUGGGAAUUAGAAACCUGACAACCUGACAGGAUUAUCAGACAAGUCCAUUCUUUUAAAUUCUACGUAAGUGAUGCAUAGAAUUUUCAGCAAAAAGACAGAAGAAGAUGCGAAGCGAUCACCAGAUCCAAAACGGGUGUAACGCAUGAGACAACGAUCAAAAAGACAAAAAUGCAAGCAACUAGAUAAGACUACAAAUAAAACAUAAUCAAGUAAUCCAGUGAGAAUUCUCUCGAUUUCACCGUGAGAAGCCAAAUCCAGAACAAGUGACUGGAGUUCGUUAAGAAUUUGCAGACGGCUUACAUCAAAAGAUGGGGCCCUGAAAGAAACUCUUACUCAAGAUGUAGCCGAAUCUACUCCAAAGCAUUCCAGAUCGCAACGACCAUUUCACUUCAGAACAAGCAAAAUCCGACUUUUAGCCUAGGACUGGCAGCUCAUACUACUCAUCUAAUCUAUCGAGGAACCAAAAUCCCGGGAAAACAGCUUUAAAACAAACAAUUCCAUCCAAGGAGUAAAAAGGGGGAAGGAAGCACAAACGACCAGGAUUCGGCCGGAGUACCAAGAAGAUCCCACGCGGCCCAAUGCAUAAAGGAGAUGAAACCGGGAGUCCGAAUCGGACGGCAUCGAGAAGGGGGGAGAUGAAGCACGAGCGCAGAUCCGACCAUACGCGAGUCGACACGAAAUCCAACAAGCGGGAGGGAAGGGAUAGUUUUGGAGAAGGGAUUCGAAUCCAGAGCGCACCUCAGGAAAUCGAUUCGUGGGAUCUACUCCUAUGGCUUGUUCGAGCUUUCCCUGCUCCUCCUUUUGCUGGUGGCCGGCAAUUUCCCCUGUCACCCUGUCUCGCUCAGACGCUUUACUUCCUCUUCUUUUGCACCCUCCCGUAGUCGAGCAGUCGCUGGAGAUCGUUUUGGUUUUUGGUUAGAGGAUUAAAAGCCAAAAAGGCGACCUUUUUAUUUGCUCGUCUCUGCAAUAUGUAAACUGUCAUUUCUACCCCUGUAUAUUGCGUACAAUUGCUGAUUUGAGUACUUUCGUUAUAUUUAUAUUCAUAUCAACGCCCAAUUCAUCAGUUUCUUAAUCCAACUAAGUGGAUUUGAUAUCCAAAAAUAAUAAUAUGCUACCAUUUAAGAAUCGAAAUUAUAUAUGUACAUAUUAAUUUCAUUUCUAAUUAUCAAUUCGGGCUAAUUAUAGGUUAUCCCUUAUAAUUCGAUUUUAUUAGCAUCAUAGUUUUUGUACUUAAAAAAUUUAUAUUAUCAUUUUUAUAAUUUUAAAAAUAAAAUAAAUAAUCAUAUUUACGGUAAUAUUAGAAAACAUAAUAUAUGACAUCACGUGUUAGAUCGAUACGAAAGUGAUAAGCAAAAAGAUAAAUUUAAUAUUAUUUUUAUUUCUAACGAUUUUAUCGGUAAAAAUAUAAUUUUAACAUCCUACGUAUUGAAAAUGAAAGGGAUAUUGAAAUUACUUUUUGCUCAUCACUUUCGCAUUGAUCCAACGCAUAGUGUUGCUCAUCACUUUCGCAUUGAUCCAACGCAUAGUGUCACAUGUUGUGUCUUUUAUCAAUGCAGCUGAUGACGCUAAGACAAAUAAAAUUAGAUACUAAUAGAAUUCAUGAGAUAAUACGUAAUUAGUCACAUCAAUUCACUCCAUGGAGUCAACCUAGCUCGUUUCUUGAACGUCAUCGUCAACUCUAAUACCAAUCAAUCUUAGGAUUGAUAUUAAGGUUAAAUAAAAUUUUUGAUCUCCUAUCAUACUUGCUCAAUCAUAUUAGGACACGAAGUAUUAUUGAUCAUCCCGAUCAUCGUAUAUACAUUCAACUGUAUAGAGGAAAAAAAAUCAAAUGUCAAAAAUGCAGAUAGGAAGAGGAUGGAAUUUGAUUGCAGCCCAUUAAAAACAAAAAAAGAAAAAGAAAUGAAUAAGGGAAAAGGUAAUGGCAUCAAUUUAGUGAGCUCUAAGGCAAGGGAAACAAAAAGAGGCAACAACCAUUGACAACUACAAAUCUCAAGGCAAAUUGUGAGCAUUGUAUGACAGUACAUACUGCUUCAAAAGAAUUGCUUGUUUGCUCUUCGUUCAAACAAAAACCAAGCAUUUCAUAAACUAUAAAACAAUUAUGAAAACAAGGAGUUAGAAAAAGGAGAAGUAUCAGCAAAAUAAUCAUUCAUCAUUUAUGUAUUUAUGUAGUUCAUCAUAACCAUACAAUACAGAUCCAUUCCUCGAUACAAGAAGAGUGAACAGCAUGUAGAAAACAAGGCUCCAGUGAGCAUCAACCAAAAUCAAAGUAGCCAUAUAGGUGGAGUGGAACAUUAGUUAAACUAUGACUGUUCAUUAGGUACUAAUUGCUACCAUGAGCAUACCAUAAGAACACGUUCAUACACACCAUUGAAUGCAACUUUACCAGGGGCUGGAAGCAGCAGUCACUAUCGUUAGUCGAGGUUUAGAGAAAGAAAGUUUGAUCGAUUGUUCUUGAUGGGAUCUCUAUUUGCCUUUACCCAUCAAAGUCAAAUAAGCAGACCUACGUAAUACCGAAGAUAAGAGAAAAAAAGAGAGCCAGAAUCACAGUCAGCCGUCGCAUCAUAGAUUCUAUGCAACCAGAACUGCAGGUGUCGAUGUAAAUGCUACUGCUGGUUCGAUCAGCCAUGAUAAUUCAGGGACAGCAUUUGCUGCUGAGGAUAGAUUGGACAAACUAAGCUCAUCGGAUGAUUCUGUGUAGUGGAACUCGAUCUGAAGGCGGUGAUGCAGAGGAGUGGAAGAUACCCGUCCUUUCUUGAUAUCAGCUUGCAGUUCCCUGAUUGGAAUUGCUGCUAAGAAACUCUUGAUAUACUCCUUGCAUGACUCCUUUCCCAUAAACACAAGGUCCCCCUCCACAGCAUUUCCUUUUUCCUGUUUCAAGUUACCGGCAACACCGUGUCCUACUGCUGUGGCCUCACCGUUAACAGUCUUGCUGUCACUAGGAACCUUAUGAAUGGAUGUGCUGUCAUCAAACUUUAGUAUGUAUGCCUGUUGGCACCCCUCGUAGAGCCGCUCGCCGAGUGUGUCUAAUAUAUAGUAAGCAUCAUGUUCAACCUUGAGGACGAAGAAGUGAUCAUUCCAACUUACUAUAUAAAGCAUAGGCCUUCCAUCACUCAAGCAUUCUGACCGGCUGAUCUCAUCCCAGAUGCUGUCGAAGGACAUAGCUCCAUGUAAGAAGUCAAAGCCACUGUUGCUGUCAGGGGUAUCAGGAUGAAAGAAUCCAAUGAAAGAUUUACUUGGAACGACAGAAAUUGGUCGAAUCUUAGCUUGAAGAACUGUCUCAAGGUCAAAGUGUUUGUCAGGAAAAUGUUCCUGAUAUGCCUGGUUCUCGCAAAGGUUCCUCCACUCAAGAGAGCCUUCUCGGAUAAGGCUAUCGAACUGGGACUUGAGAGGCAUCAUAUCCUGGUUCCUGUGAAACCAGUCAGCAAUGACAGCGACAAGAGCAGUGCAUGCACUCUCACCACAGGCGCGUUCGCUCCUCUGAUCAAUGGAUGCAAAGAAGACCUGAGUGACAAGCUUCAUGUGCCCAUCGCGACUCACUAACUCCUUUGUUUCCCAGUUGCCUAUGACAAAGUAGUCAUCACCAAAAUCAGAUACUGAUGAUCGGUUCAAAGGACUAUCAUCAUCCCCUUCGCGCCUCUGCAAGCAAAUCAUGUAAACAUUUUUAGUUUCCCUUACAAAUAGGUUACGAAAUCAAAACUAAAAAACCAAUGUAGAACAUUUUAGCCAGUAAACAAUCCAAAUAACAUUCAAUGACCGUCCCACAUCCGGGGGGAACUCCAAAAGCCAAUUACGACCACGAGACAAUGUAUAGGCAGACCACAUUGCUACUUAACGGAAAUGAAUAGUAUGGUAAACCAUCUAAAGCUCUUAUUCAUCAAGAAUGGGUAGACAGAUCAGCCUAUAUUAGUACCAAAUAAGAGAAUCAAUAUAUCUAUCGAUCAAGAUAAAAGGAAUUGAUGGAAAAUAAACCAAGAAAAUCAGUGAGAAGCAUACGCCUGCAAGAGAUUCAUCAGAACUCAGCUGCCGCCGAUCAUAGUCAAUGUCAUCACCUCCCUCUUCAUAUGCUUUCUUUAGCAAUGGCUCUCCUUUAGGCUUAGGUGAUCUAAAACUCAACUUCCUCUUUUUCCAAGGAAGAAUCCUCCUCUUUAACACAGAAAGGUCAGGAACAAAUAACAUUGUGUCCUCCACAUGCGAACAGCCAAUAUCUGAUCUUCGAUGAUUGUAGCAGACCAGAUCUUCAUAAACUCCAUUAUCUAUCCUCGUCCCAUGUCCAAUUUUAUUAACAGAUUGUAACGUACCAUAGCUGAAUGACUUCCUCAUACUAGAAUCCUCUUCAGUGUCGUCUAAUUCAUCAAGAUCAUCAUCAGGGGAGUCUAAAUCAGAAGGAUAGGUAUAUUCUGCAUCAUCACUCCUAGCAGAGCACUUUCCCUCGCUACCAUCAUCAUCUUGGCAUGUCUUUUUAGUCUUCAGGGUUGACACAAACUCAGUCAAAAUUUUCACCUUCCUCAAUCCGGCUUUAAGAGCAGAUAGCUCAUCUUUCUCAGAAGGAAGAACAUCUCCAAAGGGAGGUGAUAAGGGAGAAGUCAACGACCUCUGUAUCAUAUCAGAAGAAAACUGGGAACUUCUCAAUUCCAAUAUACUUAGAGCCAGCUGCAAAAUGAACAACUUCACAAGUCACAUUCUUAAGUUUGCCAAAAUUCUUCUAACGAGGAGAAAAAAAUAAAUACAGGACACAAAAAAUUAGGACUUAGUGAAAGAAGAAAUCAGAUGGGCAUGGGCGUGCUUAGGAAAUUGUUUCAUGAGAAUGGAUAAACAAAAACACCACCAUUCCCAACAUUUCUUGGUGAAUAAAAAGAAAAGAAAUAUCCAGGAUAUUGGCCAUCUAGCCUUACAAGGUAAAGCUGCAUACAUCUCCCGCGUUGGCGAGAGCACAGACUGAGACAUAAUGUACGACAUAAUUCUAGAUUAAUGUCAUCAAGCAUCAAAAUCUAAGAAGUUUGUCAACAUACAUAAAGUGAGAGAUGAGAUUCAGUGACACCAGGAAGCAGCAAUGGAAGGUUGAGCUCAGUCUCUUGUUCAGCAGUGGAUGUGAAUUCCACUAUGUUUAGUGAAGCCAUUCCAAGAACAGAUUCCUUGUUCUUGGCACCAUGGUUCAAACCCUAAAUCAGAACGAAAUCAGUUUAGCUCCUCCACACAAAAUUCAACUGAACUUUUAAUAGAAAUAGACAUCCCAAAAAUGAAACCAUCACAGUCAUACGCAAAACAGAAGAGAGAAAAAACAGUAAUAAACUGAAAAGUAAAGCAGGUCUAUAUGCCAUCAAGUAAAAGAACUGCAUAUCCUCCCUUCCAAAAUGGCAACAAUGAAUCAGAGCAAGUCAGAAAGUAAGUUAGCUUAAUCACUUUGAAAGUAAAUUGAAUGAAGAAGAUAUUAGCAGGUUAGAAAACUUUGGUAGCUUUGAACUAAAAGUUACAAAUUUAAUUAUUAAGCAAUCAAGCUCAUCAUGCUUUGUUGCAGCACAUUUUCGUGCUAAUUAUCAUCAUGUUAGGAAUUACUCAUGAUGAUUUCUCUUGAGUGGAUUUCUUUAAUUUGGAACUAUUAUUCUCAUUAAAGGCAAUAUAUAGUCUAAGCAUAUCAGCAUUCAUUCUCAGGGAACAAUAAAAAAGUAUGAAAAAUGGCCAAAACCUUAAUUCUCAAUUCAAAUAAAAAUAACAAAUAUUAGAGUGUACAAGCUGUUGGUGGAUAUAGAUAGCUAUUAGGCCAAACCAAAAACUAACUAAAUAGAAACAGUUGACCUUUUUUUCACAAAGCAACGGCCGAUCUCGAGCUGUAAGAUGCAAUUAGAAAUCCAACAACAGGUGAAACUUGACAAAGACAACUAAUUAAAAGAUUCAUCAGGUUUCUAAAUAACUGAUCAAUAAGUAGAGAACAAUCAACACUAAGGAAUUAAUAAUUCACAAAAUACAAAAGAUAUUUAAACCGAACAGGGUAAACUUUUUCGUGAUGUUAGAGCUGCCCUGACACUCAUAAACCCAUGUGAAAAAGAAAUAGAAGGCAUGAUCACACAAAAAAAUUCUUGUUUCUCUAACAUAUACAUGGAGGAUUCCUUAGUUAAAAAAGAAAAGAAGAAAUUUUUUAAAAGAAUAUUAUGAAAAGGAAGUAAGAUAAAGAAAAAACUUUCUGGGGGGAAAAAAAGGAAAAGGGAAGAAAAAGAUUAAAGAAAAUAAGAACAAUAAACUAGUACACAACACCUAAAAGGCAUGUCCAAUAUAAAGCUAGUCAUUAGGUAUUAGAUAUUACAAAGUUGUAAACGCAUGCGACGGGGAGAAUGGAGGAAGCAAGAAAUAGAAUCCCCAUAUGAAGGAAUCGAUUGUCUUCGAUGAUUUCAACACAACACGAAAAACGAUGGCCCAUAGGACACAUCACAACCUCCACUAAAAAUCAUCCAAAAGCAAUUUUUUAACAGCCUAUUAUCAAACCAUAUAGAAGGUUUAAGAACCAGCAUUAAUUUCAACAAAAUUCGCCUAAUGAUGUAACCCAGAAGCAAAGUAUCAGUGAGGAAGAACCCCGGUAAAAGAACAGUAAAAACUACCAAUUUGUUGAGAUAACAGUGCAAGAAAACAACAGUAGAUGAAAAACGAACGGGGGAAUCAGAGAACUGCAAGGGCCCAUUUUUUGACUCACAUUGAGCACGAUAAAUGUGAUCUCCCAUGGCUGGAACGAGCUCUCCUUGUGAGGAGUCAGGGUACAGACGGUCUCAAAUUCCUCAUUCCACUCCACAAGACCCCCAUCCCCCACCUCUUCCUCCCUCGUCCGGUUCCUCCUCGCCGUCCUCCUCAGCGAGCUCAGUGCCAACUUCGGCCCCUUCCACCUCACCUCCACAGCCACUUUCCUCCCCGUCCUCGCUACCUCAUCCCCACCGCUCACCCCUUCAACCCUCCUCACGACGAGCCUAACCCGAAACUUCUUCGAUAAUAGCGGCGGCCAUGGCCGCCACCGCAUCAUCCUCGACACCAUCCCCGGCGUUAAUCCAACCGCUUCGGAGCCCAACACGUGAACUGCCACCAGAAGCCAAUCUCACGGACGGAACGCCCGAGAAAACCCCCCCGAUCGCCGGAGGAACGCCGAAUCUCCACCGAGAUGAGCCCAAAUACCUCGAGAAAAACCACGCCUUUCCGUUAAAACCGAUGAAGGAUGGAAAACUCGAUAGGUUUUGAAUGAAAAAGGAAGCGUUUUGGCGGAGAUUCAAGGAGAGAUCGAGGGAAGGAGGGGGAAGAGUGAAGAAGAACAGCGAACAUACAAAGGGAUGGAGACUUAAGCCAUGAGUGGAAAUAUAUAUAAGAGCCGCAUUCGCCGUCACGCUGUCGUUAACAGGUUUCUGUGAUUCCAAUGCAGGUUGUAACGGCUCUUUGACUUAACGGUAACGGUGGACAAAGUCGUCUAUGGAGCCAUAAUAAUAAUAAUAAUAAUAAUAUCCAUUUACAUUCGAUAUUACUAUUAUAUAUAUAUAUAUAUAUAUAUAUAUAUAUAUAUAUAUUUAUAUUUAUAUUUAUAUUUAUAUAUAUAUCUCGAUCAUCCAACGUGACAUUGGGGACGAUCCAAUUAGUUUCCACCCGAGAUAGAAAUAGGUUGAUAGAUAAUGUAAAAACCUGAUCAUCCCUAGGGUGACAAAUCAAUCGAAAAAUGAUAUAACCAUUAUCGAUGAUAUGAUUAUGACACAAAUAUGUAUAUCCUCCUUGUUCUCUAUAUUGUCACUUGUGCUGAUGUCCCUAUAUGAUGUCGAGGAUAUAAAUUUUAUCCUAGUCGCAUAUGUAUAUUUGAAUAUAAACUAUUAAAAAUUAUAUAAAAUUAAGAUGGAUGAAAAUUAUUAUCCUUAUCUCAAUUUUAUUUAUUCGAAUCAUAAUAAUCUAAAUUAUUUAAAAAAAUAAUUUUAUUAUCAUACGAAGAUUUAUUUUUUAUAUGAAAUAUUAUCAUUAAAUAAGAUAGGAAGAGAGAUCAUGUCCAAUGUCUAUGAGCUUUCUUCAUGCAGGAUAAACUUGAGGAACAUGUUGGCCAUCAUCCCCAUACCUUCAUGAUUCAGAGGUUGACAUAUGGAGGACUGCUUCAUCAAGCAAUGGAAGCAGUGCACAUCCUUCACAGGACGCUGCAAUGGCAUUCGUCAACGGUUCGGUUUUGAGGGGAACAGCAACGAAAGGUGGAGAGCUUCUGCCAUGGCUCCUUUAAUUUCCACUGCUGCAACAAGUGACAGACAAGAUGAUUCAGCUUCCUUGACUUUUUACUGGUGCUGUUGGGCUGCCACUGUGCACUUCAUCUGCAUCUUCUCGGAUGUCCGUCACCACUGAAAGAUAUCAGCACGAGAGUUGCAGCUGAAUCUGAUAACAUGAUCCUACCAGAUGUUUAGUUUUAAUGCUUGUGCUGGUACGGUCGCAGCAUCAUCCUUCUAUGAACCUUGAUGUGAUUCAUGGUAUCAUCCUUCAUCCAUUUUCGAUAAAUAAUUAAAUUAAGAUAUUAUAAUCUCUAACCUCAUCCAGGAUCAACUUCGUCAUUAGCGGUAACUUUAUGAUUUAAUGUUACUCCACAUUUUUGUUAUAAUUGGAUAAUUUUUGGAUUUUUUCUCCAAAAAAUCAUCAUCAUGUUGUGACGCUCUAUCUUUCUACGGUUUAAACUUUUUAGGAAGAUUUCUUUUUUCUCAUCAUCAUCAUAGGAACGAUGUUUGUAUCGUAAUAUGAAUCAUGCUAAAUUGUCUGUGUUUGUUUUAUGUUUUUAUCAUUUGAUUUUAGUAUCGACUUCGUCGAAGAAAAAGUUCAUUUGUGAAGCUUAAGUGUUAGCAAUGCACACAAGAACAAGUAGAUCUACAUUCAAAUUUGUGCUUCUUGACAAGUCCAUUAUUUUUAGGUGCCAUGGGGAACAAGGUUUCCUUUCUCCUGUACUAACUCCAGGAGAGCAUGUAUCUCUAGAAGGAAGAGAAGGAGUGCUUACAGCUUCCACAACCACAUGAACAUGUUUUGGCAAUAUGCUGCUCUCUGACAUCAUGGCCACAGGUGAAGCAUGUCAAAGUCUCCACAGCUUUGGUGUGCACACUUAUGAAAGAGAAGUCCUCAUUUUGUUGGCAUUGACAAAGGAUAUGCUCAUAUGAUGACAUGUUAUGAGCACCUUGAAGAAGCUUUCAGCUUACCUGUGGCUGUGGCAAUUGCUUUGCCAUGAAACAAAGAUAUAUGUUAGCAGCUUUGAGUACCUAAUGCAUCACUAGAUGAAGGCGGCUUUAGUAAUGGAAAAUUAGUGGCCACUCUUUUUCAUGCCUAAACCAUUGAGAAAAUUAUCAUACAAAGAUUGAAAAACAUAGAUGCAAUUAUUUGUGGUCUGGCAUUUGCUCAAGUUAAUGUGUACUCAAGUAAUGUGUCAUCAUAUGUUUUGGUACUUAUCCCAUUCCUAUAGCACCUUCAAGUGUCUUUCUCCCAGCCACUCUUUUUAGUAUUUAUUUAGAGUAAUGGAAGGUGAACAGGUUGAAACCUCAUUGAUUGAUUCAUGAGUAUUGGGGCCACAAUGAUUGUGAUUCUUGGCAUCAAAUGUUGUCAUGGUUGUGGGAAUAAUUGGUCUGAAUUCUUAAGGUUUAUCAUGUGAAGUGCCAUAAUAGGUGGAAUGUAGAGAAACACUUGAUCCUUGUUUCUUUAUCAUAAAGUUAAAGAAGAGGCAAUGUGGCAACUCCUUGUUAGAUAUUGAUCUCUCAUGAGCAAGUUGUCAUUCAGAAACAGGUUAUCAGGAGGAGGUGAAUAAAAGAUCUGAAUCCUUCUCAGGUUCAAUGAGCUGAAGCAAACCAUGAAAACCACAUGAUUUUGAAAUGAAAUCAAUAAGUCCUCUCAAUUGGACCUUUUAUCAGGAUUUUUACUGUCAGAUCAUUAUUUGCAGUUCUCCUCAUUGCUCAAAAUUAUGCAUUUGGUCUGCAGUUUUAUGUCUGCUACAUGUACUUUUUUGAGAGAGACAAAAUUAUUGUAUGCACUUGACAUCAGAUUUUAUUUUUCUUUUAAUCAUGAGAAAAAAGAGAAAUCUUUGUUCCAUAAAAACAUUUAUUUAAUAUGACAAUGUCAGUUGAUUUGAUGCUGUUUGAAUUUGGAAGACUAUUAUGAUUAACAAAUGAUCAGUGGGUGUUUUCUGUGCAACAAAGUAUAUUUAAUCAACUCAAAGUAUUUACUGGUGAUAUGGAAAAGUACCAAACCCAUCAACUAAUCCAGUCACCUGAGUCGAAUAGGCCACCUAAACAAAAGUAUGGAAGCUCUCACUAACUCCCUGUAGCCGAUCGAUAGGAGAUCAGCCCAUGAUCCGUGCCUGCCUCGGCUUCCCAAAGAGAGUCCGUAAGAAUCACUCCUCGCUAAUACCACGACGGAAGAAAGGGCCACUCUCCCCACAUUAAUGGUCAAUGAUAUUAUUCGCCUCCCCCGCAACCCCCUUCCGGAUAACGAAAGGAGAGACCACUCCCUACCUAACACAAAGCAAUAAAAAAACCGAACAAGGAAUGUCAUCCCAAUGACCCAACGUCGAUGUCGGCCUUAUGACUACGUGAUCGUAAGCCGAUAAGCCACCUCCAAUAAUGGCACCUAACGAGUAGGGUAUGGGGACUCUCACCAAUCCCUGUCCUCGUCGCCAGGAGCCUAAGUAUAAAAACCAGGCCCCAUGCCUAAUAAGAGCAAACGAGUGAACACUACACUCUCCUAAAUACAACUAACUCACUCAUUCCUCAUGCCUCUAACUUAAUCAUUGGAGAGUUCACGUUGAGAUCUCCCUCCGAAGUCGACCUACCGUGCAAGAUCACUGGCGCAACUGAGGAGGCAUUGCAAUGUGACUCCCCUAUAAGAAAGAUGGUCUGUCUUCUCAAAUCAGUUUGCUCCCUUCAUAGGCAGGAAGCUCUCUACGCCCGUGUCUCGGGCUACCUCUCCACAGUAGUUCUCUGCCACACACCAUCUCUCCACAAUGGUUCUCUACGUUAACUCUCCAAGAAGGACCUGCACUUUCGACGUUGGACCAAGCCGAACCGACUCAUCAAUCAAUCAUCGGUCUCAGUGUAAUAACGAUCGGUAACAAAUCUUCCAAUUAGUUUUGCUGUGGAACAUUGAGCUUGGCAACAAUAAUAUAGCACAAAUCUACUGCUUGUCUAACUUCAUUCAUUCUACAAAUAACAACACUUACAACUUGUUUUGUGAUGCAACAUUGAGCUCAUAAAUCAGCAGUAGUAGCUCAACUUGGCUGAGAUAUAUCAUUUUAGAUCAUUUUCUUUGCCUAAUUUCCCUAAUUCAAGUUAAACAAGGAGAAACAUAGUCCAUACAACAACAAAAGAAAAGGCAAUUGUCCAGAGAACCAAACAACAAGAUUGUGUGUGUGUGUGUCUGAUGCUUUGUCUGAAAUGUCUGACUUAACCAAGGUCUUGAUGGCAUAGGUUUGGCCAGUGAUCUCAGCCCCCCACAGAAGUGAAACAACACACCAACAAUUGGCAAAGGAUCUGUGAGCCACUUCAAGGCCAAGAUCAAGAGGACCAGAGAAAGGUCUCCCAAUUGCAGAUAUCACUACUUAGCCUUAUCUCCUGAUUUAGUCACUUAUUUUGAGUGGGGUGGCAGUUUCCUAUUGAUAGUGACAAUGAUGUGCCAAGUUAUCAAAAAAGAAACCUUUUGACUAUUUUUCUUGGUCCAAAUCUUCAGCAACAUGAUGAGAUAUCCAUGAAUCAUCAAGCACAAACUAUACUUUCCAUGCUACCUAGUUGUGAGGACAACUCAACUAGAGAAUGCUAGAACAACUGUCAAAAUCUUUAGCACUAUGAUGUGAUCAUCCAGUAAGUCAACUGGCAUCUAACUUUUUUUAUGAGUAAUAAAACAGUAAACUUUGUGUUAGAAUAGGAACAGAUAAGAUCAUCUAAUUGCACUUUCAACAUUGCAGAGUCUCCAGAGCAUCCAUAUUCACAACUUCAAUUGAUAUUUGAGAAUAUAUAUAUAUAAAAUUUUAACCUGAAAGCAGAGAGACUGUUUCUGUGACUCAACAUUUGAUCGAUUAGUUCACAGAAAAGUGAUCUUAUUAUGGUGUCAAGGUCGAUCUCAUCACCUGUAAUGCUUAAACUCUAUUUUUUGAGUUAUUUAAAUUCUUUACUUUUGCAGGGAUAUAUUGAAGAAGAUGAUGAAUACAAAAAUUUAGAUUUAAGAUAAAUGAAAAUUCUAUUUUCCAAGAACCAAAGGACAGAACAAAGGUGAAGGACAGCCACUAAAACAGAGGGCAAGUGGGCAGUCCAAAGAUACAAACAGAGAGGACAUGAGAGACCCACUUGAAACAGCCUCAAGGCAGAAGCAAGUGGUGAGGGCAGCAGCCAUGACCCCCACAAGACAACACAACCCUUGGCCCACAAGAUUCAGAAUGUGAAGAACAUGGAAAGAAGCAACAAGGGAAUUGAAGUUGGACAAAUUGAGAUGCCUUCCUCCAUGGGAGACACACAGAACAGUGUGAGCCUUGGACUGGGGUCCCAAGUUGCCAGUAGUUCUAUAUCUCUGUCUUCAUGUCUGAAUUCAUUAAUAAGAUAAAGCCAGCUAUCAAAUUCAUGGCUUUGACCUAUCAAAAGAACUUGACUGUUCAUAAACUUGGUAAGUGGAUGAGUCAUCAUUUGUAAUAAAUGCAAAGUUGCUACAGCCUUUUAUAAAAGCUUCAUCAUCAAAUGAAGAAGCAUUUCUUGCAUCUAAAACAGGAGAUUGGAAAAAUUUUGAAUUAGAUAGUCAAUUCAGCAUGCACUUAGAGCUUGUUCUGUGCCAAUCAUGAGCUUUUAGAAGUGAAGUGCAACAUUUUAGAUCCAAUUUACACUCAAGUAAAAAAUCUGCUGCUCUUUAUUUCCAUCCAAACUAUUAGCCAAACACCUAAAAGAAUAAUCCUUUCUCCAGUUUAACCUUCUUUAGACUUAAUAUAUAAUUAUAAUCAAAAGAAUGUUCCAUCUCCACUCCUUUAUGCUCUUUUCUUAUUAAGGAAUAUCAAAUCAUGACAAUUUGGUUGCGGAACAAGUCAUCCAUUCUUAUUCUGUUCAUCAGUUCAAGAAAAGAAGUCUCUGCGUUGCAGGUUGAUUCCUGGUAAUCCCUGGCCUGCAUUUAUUGGAUGUGGAGAUCACCUUCUCAUAGGAACAGCACCUGCAUUUGUGAGCAAUCGAACAACGCCAUGGCACAAUCCACAAAGAGAUGAUCACCACUGCUUUCGGUGGACUUGUGGCCAUGUUGUCAUCUAAAGCUUGGAGCAGAGCUGAGAGCCUGUCAGUCGGGGUGAGGAGGACAAGCAGACCUAAUGGGAGCAAUGAUGGCUCCAGUUGGAUUACCUCCUCUGAGUGAGAGACAAGAUGACAGAGGCAGAAGGUUCGAGGAACACCUCCACAACACACACACAGUUCCUCCUCUUUGACUCCGUAAAGUCCAAUGGCAAGUGACUUGUGACACUCGCGUGGAUGCAGCAUCCACCGAAGUUGGAUUCAGUAACGUGCCCACGACUGGAUCCGUUCAAUAUCGGAUCCAGAGAGGGGCCGCAGUCCACACACCCGCAACAUGUGCGCUCGACAUCCGACCCGUUAUCACAAACGUUGGAUUCGGAUCCGUACUCGCAUCUUACGGUUCUCAGUCGAUUUCGGCUCGGAUCCGAGUACAUAAGCCACGUUUCACUUGGUGGAGACGAGCAGAAAGACGAGGCGGGAGCGGGAAAGGGAACGAGCUCUGCUUCCCUUCGCUGCUUCUGCGAUCUAGCAAAACCCUAAUCCCAGAUCGGCGCAAAGAACCCUAGGGGAUCGUGUCGGGGUCCGGGAGGUAACGUUUCUCUUCUUUCAUGCUCUGUUUUCUUUAGCACUAUAGUCUGUACAAUUUAGAUUUGGGGCUGCCCGUUUCUUGCGCCAGACGCUUUACUUUCGUUCGUGGUGCGGCUCAGUUUGCCUGUUUCUUGUUUUGAUAUUGUUGCCUAGGGAUUCUGCUUUCGAUAUCUGUGCUGAUGUUUCAUUGUUGAAUUUCUAUUAAAUUUUCCUGUCUUGUUAUAUCUGAUGUUUCGAUCGAAUCAGAAAUAUAUGGCAUGCGAGAGAUUUGGAUGUAUAGCCACGAGUUAAUCAAGUUCUGGUGUAUCGAGUAUCGCUGAUUAAUCUGCAAGUCGAGAUUAAAUUUAUACAUUUCUCGGCAUAAGAUGUGGCACUUCAUUUAUAUGAUUGUGGUGUGGUAAGUUCAGUGACAUUAAUGAAGAUAAUUGAUUUUAGACAUGGAGAAUCGCCGUCAUUUAACUGAUAUCAAGUUGAGUGGUCUCGAUCACAUCAUAGGCUUUGCUGGAGGAAAGUGACGAAGAAAGAAUUUUUAUUUUUACAUACAAAAGUUCUUGAGAAAAGGUCUUUGAAUACUUUGCAUUUGAUGCUUCGUCCACAUAAUUUGCCACAUUAGUCGAACAUGGCUACAUGAGUUUAAUGUGAUCUACAUAAUUUUUAUUGAUUUUUCUCAACUGCCACAUUGACAAAGUGAUCUACAAAAGACAACUGUUCUUAUAUAACUUGAAACUUAGCUGUGAAAUCUAAUGAAUACUUAAAAGUACAAUGUCAUUCUUGGAAGCUUGAAUGCACGUCAUACAAACUGUCUGCAGUGGUGUCAUCAGGUCUUGAUAAUGUAAGGGAAAUUAGCAACUUUUUGAACAAGUAGAGUGUGCUUUUGCAAUGCCUUGUUUGCAUGGACUAGUCCAAGAGUCCUGAAUCUGUGUGGUUGUCACAUUCUGUGUUUUUUACAAUGCUUGUUUGUGUAAAGUUUCAUUGUCGUGUACUAUGUUGCAUCAAUUAAUCUAAGGUUAGGUAUGUAAAUCUGAUAUACUUGUAAAAUGGGGCAUGCUUUUACCCAUGACAUGUCUCCUUGAUGGUUGAAUUCUGCUCUCUCUUAGAGCAAGCACAUCAUUUCUAGGCUCUAGACCUCAACGUUGUAUAUGAUGUUAUAGUUAAAAAAUAGUUGAAUUGUAUACAGUUAAGAACCAAUUCAAAUUUUGAGUUCUGUAGGCUUUCUGUCCUCGCUGCAAGGUUGUGCAGUUUCUACGCCAGCCUAUUGACACUUGAAGCUGGCAAGUUUACAUAAUUGAUCAGGUAAUGAUGGCAGUUGGGGUUUUAAGUUCACCAGCAAACAGUUUUCAACUUACCUGUUAAGGCAGAAGCCUGAAUAGUUGCUUGCUACAUUAUGUGUUUCUGUGAUUCUUAAAUCACCAGGCAGCCAUGUGUUUGCCUAUCUGACUCUGAUAUCCUUAGUUUUAGCUUUAGAAAGCUUUUUGGAUAGCUUAGCUUUAGAAAGCUUUUUGGAUAGCCUCCCUCCCUCUUUCCCUUCCCCUAUGCAUAAUGAGACUUGCUAAAAUUAGGAACCAAAUCUGAGAUUAUCCUUGCUGUAGAAAGACUGCAGUAGCAGCAGUUUAACGUGCAUGGUGCAUUUUGGAGAUUUAUUUAUCUAGGACCUAUCGGUUUCAUGGUGUCUUGCUUCUAAUGAGUUUUUAGAGCAAAACAAGCACAGUUGGCCUAUUAGCUCAGUUGGUUAGAGCGUCGUGCUAAUAACGCGAAGGUCGCAGGUUCGAGACCUGCAUGGGCCAAAAUUAUAUUUUUUAGAAAUUUAAUUUAAUUUUUGGCAUCAAAACAGGUUCCAAGGAGGAGGUGAAUAAAAGAUCUGUAUCCUUAUUUUGAAGUGGAAUUAACAAGUCCUCAUACUUUUAGCUAGAUUUUUAUCGUCAUAUCAUUUUUUGCAAUUCUCCUCGUUACUUAAAAUUAUGUUUUUGGCCAGCUGUGCUAUAUGUACUAUUGAGGGAGACAUAAUUCUUGUAUGCACUUGAUAUCAUAUUUUUCCUUUUGACCAUGAGAAAACAGAGAAAUCUUAGCUCCUUCAUGAUAAAAACAUUUAUUUAAUUAGAAAAAAAUUAGCUGAUUUGAUGCUAUUUGAAUCUGGAAGACUAUAAUCAUAACAUAUGAUCAAUGGGUAUCUGUAACGCAGCAAAGUAUAUUUAAUCAAUUCAAAGUAUUCUACAAGAAGGAUCACCUCCAAUUAGAUUUGCUGUGGAACAUUGAGCUUAGCAACAUUAAUAUAGUGCAAAUCUACUGCAUUAUCUUUGUCUAACUUAGAUCAUUCUCUUCCAACUUGUUCUGUUAUGUAACAUUGAGCUCAGAAAUCUGUAAUUGUAGCUCAACUUUGAUAAGAUAUAACAGUGUAGAUCUUUUUUUUUUUGCCUAAUUUCACUACAUGUAUUUGUUUCGCAUAAUGAAUCCAGGUUAAACAAGGAGAAACAUAGUUUAUACACAACAAUAGAAAAGGCAAUUGUCCAGAGAACCAAACAGAACAAGAUUGUCUGUGUGUGCCUAAUGGUUUGUCUGAAAUCUCUGACUUGUCCAUGGUCUUAAUGGCAUAGGUAUGGUCAGUGAUCUCAGCACCCCAUAGAUGUGACACAAUACACAAUGGAUCUGUGAGCCACUCCGAGGCCAAGAUCUAGAGGAAUAUGGGAAUUGAAGUUCUACAAAUUGAGAUGCUUUCUUCCAUGGGACACACAGAACAGUGUGAGCCUUGGCUUAGGGUUCCAAGUUGCCAGUAGUUCUAUAUCUCUGUCCUCAUGGCUGAAUUCUUUAAUAGGAUAAAGCCAACUAUCAAAUGCAUGGCUUUGACCUGCCUGUUGCAACAAUUAUGCAAAAGAACUUGACUGUUCAUAAUUGGAUGUCAUCAUUUUUAAUUAAAACAAAUUUGCUACGGCCUUUUAUAAAAAUUUUUACGGAAGCUUCAACGUCAAGCAUGAAUUUUUAAUGGAGUUCUAUGAAGUAUUUCCUGCAUCUAAAUACUUUGAAUUAGAUGGUCUAUUCAGCAUGCACUUUGAGCUUGUUUUGUGCCAGUCAUGAGCUUUUAGAAGUGGAACAUUUCAGACCCAAUUUACACUCAAGAUGGAACAAAGUGUGUAUGAACAUGCAAAAAUCUGUUGUUCUUGAUUUCCAUCCAAACUGUUAGCCAAACACCUAAAAGAAUAAUCCUUUCUCCAGUUUGUUAAAAGAAACAAAAAUUAAAGAUCCAUAUCCUUAACAUGUCCAAAUAGGAUAACCUUCUUUAGACUUAAUAUAUGAUUCUAAUCAAAACAAUAUCUACAUUUGUGAGCAACUGAACAAUGCCAAGGCACAAUCCAUAAAGAGAUGACCACCACUACUUCCGGUGGCCUUGUGGCCGUGCGGUCAUCUAAAGCCUGGAGAAGAGCUGCGUGGGCUGAGGACGACAAGGAGACCUAAUUGGGAGAAAUGAUGGCUCCAUUUGUAUACCUCCACUGAGUGAGAGCCAUCAUAACAGAGAGGGAGAAGAUUUUAGGUCCACACACACAGUUCCUCCUUUUGACUCAGUAAAGUCCCAAGGGUAGGUGAGUUGUGACACUUGCAUGGCUGCAGCUUCCAACUGAUACUGGUGAGGGAUGUGGCUUAAUUGUCUGGUUUCUGCUCCCAAAUUGGUACUGUGUAUUUGGAUUGCUUUCUUUGACAUUGUAGAACAUAGGCCUGUCAGCCAUAUUAUAAAUUCAUUGAGAAUCGUCUUGAUCGAAUGAUCAGAAAUCCUAAAUGAAAUCUCUAAAACCAUAAAUCCUUAAGAAAAGACCCAACAUAUUCAUAAGCUUUAUUGGUGAAGGGAUGAAGCAAAUGAAGUAUAUGAUAAUAUUUCUAGUUUUCUAUGCCAACUCACAAGUCAUAGAUGUUAUUUUAGUUGAUGAAAGUUAAGCUAUAAUACUAAUAUUAAGCACUUACAUUAGAAAGUAGGGAUCUAAAACUAAAUAGGCUCAAGACUGAAAAGCUUAGGUUUUGUUUAGACAAUUUAAACUGAAUAUAAUAAACAGAGUUCUAUGUUGUAAUUUUCCGACGUUGGAUCAGUAAAGUGCCCAUUACUGGAUCCCUUCAAUAUCGGGUCGAAGAGGGGCCACGAUCCGCACACCCGCAACGCGUACGCUCGACAUCCGACCCGUUAUCACAGUCGUUGGAUUCGGAUCCUCCGGUGCUCAAUCGAAUUCGUCUCGGGUCCCCGGGUACAUAAACCACGUUUCACUUGGUGGAUGCCGCUGGAGGCAAGCAGAACACGCCGCGGGAGCGGGAAGGAGAUCUCCUUUUCCCUUCGCUGCUUCGGCGAUCUAAUAAAACCCUAAACCUAGAUCGGCGAUAAGAACCCUAGGGGAUUGUGUGGGGAUUCGGAAGGUAACACGCGUCUCUUCUUUCAUUCUCUCUUUUCUUUAGCUCUAUUGUCUGUACAAUUUAGAUUGGGCGUUGCUCUGUUGUCUUUUCUUUAGCUCUAUUCUGCUUAUGAUAUCUAUGCUAAUGUUUCAUUGUUGAAUUUCUAUUAUAUUUUCCUGUCUUGUUAUAGCUGAUGUUUCGAUUGAGUCAGAAAUAUGUGACAUGCAAGAGAUUUGGAUGUAGAACCAUGAGUUAAUCAAUUUCUGGUGUAUCGAGUACUGCUGGUUAAUCUCUAAGUCGAGAUUAAAUUGCGUCAUUUCUCGGCAUAAGAUCUGGCACUUCAUUUAUAUGAUUGUGGCAUGGUUAGUUCAGUGACAUUGAUGACGAUAAUUGAUUUUAGACAUAGAAAAUCAACGUCGUUCAUAGGCAUCAUAGGCUUUGCUGGAGGAAUGUGAAGAAGAAAGAAUGGGAGAGGAAGAUGAUUCAUUGAGAAGAAAAAAAAAAAAGAAUAUGGAACUAGAAGCAAUAAGAAUUUGCUUAUAGUUGACUAACUCGAAUAAAAUAAUUAGUAGAUUUAUUCCAUCCAACCCAAAAUGGAAAUUGGCUAGGUUAUGAACUGAUAAUCAUGGAAUUGACUUGAUCAUCAGAUUUUAAGUUCAUUCCACACCGGAUCAAACUGGUAUAGGGUUAUGUACAUUCUUAUUAAAUCCACUUUCUGGUUACUGGUUAGCCUGGAGAUCUAAUGGUCCAUGACAACCAGUGGGGAUGAUUGUAGGCACAUACACAACUCUGUAGAUGGGAUAACCAGAAUAUCUCAACAAUUUAAGUAAUAUUUUUGCACUGUAAGUUAUCAGUUCUCCCCCCUUAUGUUAUCUUCCUCUCUUUUUUACCUUUUCCACCAUUCUCAUUCUUUAUGUUUUAAACAAAAGAUUAUGACAUGGUUUGCUGCUGUUAUUGGAAGUAAUGUGGUGGAUGAAUUAUGGAAAUUAAUUGAAAGAGAGAUAUGGAUUGAGAAUACUAAAACAAAAAGACAGUAUUUAUACUCAAAGGAAUGAGUUUUUAUAGCACCGAUGGAAUACAUCACUUUUACCUUCUUUUAUCAUUUUAAUAUGUUCUGUAUUCUUUUACUUUCUCUUCCUUUUAUCUACUUCCACUCUUUGCUUGUGCUUACACUUAACACACUGAGAGACCUAUAUUUAUAUUCCCAAGUUUAAUACUUCAUCAACCAUGGGUACGAUAAGCAUAGUGAUAUCGGACUAAGGUAUCCCAUUUGUUUCAUUGGUGCUUAUGGGCCUUCAUGUUCAAACACGAGGGACUCUUUACUCCAAGUUUUGUUGUCUAGAUGCAUAUGUAUAAUGAAAAGUUUUUAUCUCCUAGACAGUAUUUUUAAACAAGUUACUCUAAGAUCAGAUAUUAAUCUUCCAUCAGCCUCUAAUGGAAGAUCUGAGCUGUCUGUGAUACCUCAUAAAUAAUGAAAACCACACCUAAUUCAUUUUAUUUGUGCUUGCAUGAUUCACAAAUAAAGGUAAUUUGAUGCUUUAUCUUAUCUUUGUCUUGUUAUACAAAACCAAAGUGAUCCACCAUUGCAUUAUGUUUCUUGUGAUAUCUUGUUCCAGUUGAUGGAUUUAGUUAAGUUUGCUUUCAACAUGUAUAACUUACAAAGCUUCUUGAGAAAGGUCUUUGAAUUUUUAUUUUUAUUUCAAUGCAUUGAAUUUGACGCUUUGUCCACAUAAUUUGCCAUAUUAGCCGAACAUGGCUACAUGAGUUUAAUGUAUUGAUUUUUCUCCACUGCCACACUGACAAAGUGAUCUACAAAAGAUGUUUUCUUAUAUAACUUGAAACUUAGCUGUGAAAUCUAAUGAAUACUUAAAUUACAAUGUUAUUCUUGGAAGCUCGAAUGCACAUGAUACAAACUGUCUACAGUGGUGUCAUCAUGUCUUGAAAAUACGAGGGUAAUUAGCAACUUUAUGAACAAGUGGAGUGUGCUUUUACAAUGCCUUGUUUGCAUGGACUAGUCCAAGAGUCCUGAAUCAGUGUGGCUGUGCCACAUUCUGUUUUUAUUUACAAUGCUUGUUUGCAUAAAGUUUCAUUGUCGUGUACUAUGUGGCAUCAAUUAAAAUCAAAGGUUUGGUAUGUAAAUCUGAUAUACUAUAAGGGGGUAUUCUUUUUACCCAUGACAUGUCUCCUUGAUGGUUGAAUUCUUCUUUCUCUCUUAGAUGAAGCACAUCAUUUCUGUGCUCUGGACCUCAACAUUGUACAUGAUGUUAUAGUUAAAAAUAGUUAAUUGUAUAUAGGUAAGAGCCAAUUACUGGACCAGAUUAUCAGCAAACAAAAACAAUCCUAUUAGGUCACCCGAUAAAUCAAAAUUUUGAGUUCCGUAGGCUUUCUGUUCUCACUGCAAGGUUGUGCAAGUUAUGUACAGUUUCUAUGCCAGCCUAUGACACUUGAAGUUGUGCUAGUUUGCAUAACUGAUCAGGUAAUGAUGGUAGUUGGGGAUUUGAGUCCACCAGCAAACAGUUUUCAACUCACCUGUUAAUGCAGGAGCCUGAAUAGGUGAUGUUGUUGCUUGCUACAUUAUGUGUUUCUGUGAUUCUUAAAUCACCAGGCAACCAUGUGUGUGCCUAUCUGACUCUGAUAUCCUUAGUUUUAGCUUUAGAAAGCUUUUUGCUUAGCUUCCCUCCCUCUUUCCCUUCCUCUAUCCAUAAUAAGAUUUGCUAAAAUUAUCAACCAAAUCUGAGACUAUCCUUGCUAGAAAGACUGCAGUUUAACAUGCAUGGUGCAUUUUGGAGAUUUGUUUCUCUUUGACUUAUGUCUUCCCAUAAUCACCCAUGCAAUGAGUUAUUUAGUCGUGACAUUGUGUUUUCUUCUUCAAAGGUUUUUUCAGUGGCCUCAAUGUUAAUAAAAGAAAGGGAAAAUUCAUGGUGUUUUGCUUCUAAUGAGUUUUUAGAUCAAAAUAAUUAUAAUUGGCCUAUUAGCUCAGUUGGUUAGAGCGUCGUGCUAAUAACGCGAAGGUCGCAGGUUCGAGACCUGCAUGGGCCAUAAAUAUUAUUUUUUUAAAUUAAAAUUUGAUUAUUAGAUUUAUUUAAUAAAGAAUGUGAGGUGAUGAAUUUUUGUCAAGCUACAUCUAUCAAGGUCUUAUGAGAGAUUAAUGGAAUAUCUUGAACAUAUUUAGACAUGAAUUAUGUAGACUUAGUGGUCAUAGUUGUUAUUUUGAUUAAUGAAAGUUAUAUUUUAAGCUAAAUAGAAUUAAGAAUGAAUAUAAGGUAUAGUUAUGAUGGAAUAAUAAGUUUGUUAUUCAAUGAAAAGCAGAGAUUUUAGAAGACAAUGCAACUUUUCAUGGAGAUGGACUAUGGUGACUUAAUGGCCAUGUUAAAAAAAUAUUAAACUUAAAAUAUAUAAUUAAUGUUUUUUCAUCAAAGACUUUUUUUUUCCAAAGCCUAGGGUUAAUUAUAUCAAAUAUAAGGUGUAGUCAAGUUAUUUUUUUUGUGUGUACCAUUUAUAUUUAUGUGAAAAUGAGAGAUUAAUGAAGGCAUCAUGUGAGAAUGAGAGACUAAUGAUGACAUUAUGAAAUAUGUAUUAUGUUGACUUAAGGCUCAUAAAUAUUAUUUUGAUUAAAUGAAAGAUAGUUAAGACUAAUUCUACGUCGGAUUUGUUGGGACGAGCAUCAAAUAAUUUUUGCUGUAGAUAUUAUUUUGAUUAGUGAAAGUUAAGAAUUUAAGCUAAAUACAUUUAAGAUCAAAUGUAAGUUACACAUAAGAUGGAUCGGUGAGUUCCUUAUUCAAUGAAAACGAGAAAUUAAUGAAGACAUAUAGCAAAUUUUUUUUGGGAGAUGUAUUAUGGUGACUUAAUCACAUGGGUAUUAUCUUGAUUAAUGAAGGUUUAGUUAUGAAUACUUCUAAACUGGAUUUAUGGGGACAAGCAUUAGAAACUUACUAUUUAGAUAAACUAAGAUCAAGAUCAAAUGUAUAAAAUACAAUUUUAAAGAUUCUAAGAGAAGAAUUAAGGUAUAGGUAAGAUCAAUAAAAAGUUAGAACCAUGCGUAUCUAUUAGUACCUUCGAAUGUUCUUUAUGUUGUUUUGAAUAAAGAAGCCUCCUUCCAGGCAAAAGAUCAGCUGCAGUUUCAAGGAUAAGGCUUUGCCAUUCCAUUUUCAAUUUGGUUCUGCUGUUUCAACAAAUUUUCGUACACAUCAAGCAUCGUCUUUGUCUUCUCAAUAUUUGGCAUAUUUACCAUCUUAAAAAAAUUUAUAGUGGUUCUAAUGGCAGUAUUAUAAAUAGUUGUGGUAUUUAACAUUUGUUUGUGUUCUUCUUUUGCAGAGUUCUCAUGUCCAAAUAAUACUAAGUAGAAUACAAUCGAGAGCAUAUUGUCAUGGACUUAGUUAAAAUUGCUUAAGUCGUGAGGCAUCCUUGCAGCAAAGUCAUAGACUUAGUUGGAGUUGCCUAAGUCGUGAAGCACUAUUGGGCCAACUUCUCGGACUCAAUAUCAUGAGCUUAGUUGAAAUUGCCUAAGUUGUGAGACACCAUUGCGAUAAAGUCACGGACUUAGCUAGAGUUGCUUAAGUCGUGAAGCACUCAUGCGCCAAUUUCUCAGACUUAGUUAGGAUUACCUAAGUCAUGAAGCGCCCUUGCGAUGUGUGUCCGUAAAGGGUUAGCCUAUUUGCAACCUCGCUUAGGUCCCGUAGGACCUGUAAAAAGAGCAAAUUGAUUAGUUUGAAAGCGAGUGGUGGAUAAGUCUCGACAUCUCGCGAAGAGAGUAGCUUUACAAGCAAUUCAGCAAACACUUUGUGUGCAAGAGAGAAAAGAAAGAAAGGAGAAAACAAAUACUUUAGAAGACAAAACGAACAGUUGCAAGUCCAUAAAUGAUUGCUCAUUGAAUGUUGGGCAUUGAUCGGUUUAUACAAGUUUGCACGUUAAGUUGAUGGGAACUUGUCAUUGCGCCUGACAUUCGAUGAACAGUCAUUUGUGGACUUACGACUGUUUGUUUUGCCUUCUAAAGUCUUUGUUUUCUCCUUCCUCUCUUUUCUUUCUUGCACACAAAAUAUUUGCUCAAUUGCUUGUAAAGCUGUCCUCUUUGCAAGACGAUAGGACUUGUCCGUCGUUUGCUUUCGAACUAAUCAACUUGCUCUUUUUACAGGUCCUACGGGACUCGAGCGAGGUUGCAAAUAGGCUGACCUUUUAUGGACGCAUAUCGCAAGAGCACUUCAUGACUUAAGCAAUCUCAGCUAAGUCUGAAAAGUUAGCGCAAGGGUACUUCACGACUUAAGCAACUUCAGCGAAGUCCCUGACUUUGCCGCAAGGGUGCCUCACGAUUUAGGCAAUUUCAGUUAAGUUCGUGAUAAUAUGAUAAAAGUUUUUGGUGGAAAUUGCUUAUUUAUUCUUGCAGGAAGCAGAGCCUUGAAGCUUUGGAGUGUCAACUAGGUGACAAUGCCUAUAAACUCCACACUACUACUGCUACUACCAUUAACCAAUGGCUUGGCCUCGAUUUGCAAGAGCAUUUUAUUAAGCACGUUGAAUGAAUCAUGUCAUUGGUGUUGAGGCAGAAAGUAAUGUGUAUCCGUCGAGCUCGCAACCAAUAAAAUUGAUGUUAAAGAAGGAUAAGUUGGAUGGCCAUGCUAGUGUAGCUUGUCUAUGGUUAGUGAUGGCUCGAUCUCAAAUAAUUCAACAUAGCCGGGCGUUAGGAGAGGUAUGCUGUUAUGCCUUGUAUUAUCUCUCUCUCAUGGCUUUUCUUUUGUUAGGUUUGAAGUUAAUUUCAUGGACCCCUCAAAUCACUGAUAUGUGGGACUCAAUUAAAUUUUUUGUCUCCAUGCUGUGUGUGUGUGUGUGUGUGUGUGUGUGUGUGUUUGUGUGUGUGCUUGUUUUGUUAGGUUUGAAGUUAAUUUCAUAGACCCCUCAAAUCACUCAAAUCACUGACUAGGACUUGUGUGAUUUAAUUAGUUCUAGCCUGCACAAGUCCAUUGAUUCUUCCCAAUCUGCAUUUUUAUUUAUUCUUAUCACACAUACGAAACAUUAAAAAAUACAUUGGUAUUUUACAGAGAUUCAGUCCUUAUUUUAUAAGGUUUUUUUCAUCCAAAAGAUUUUCCAAAUAUAAGUUCCUUGUUGGAUAAAUAAGCUUGCAGGUUUAAAAUAAACAACUUAUUUCCUUAUUAGAAUUCCAGAUUUGACUUCCUCAAGAGACGUUCUAUAAGGAUCGAUGGCAUAUAUGGAUAAUGUUGCAUCUGAGUGUUGAUGGAUUAUUUUCCUUAUCAAUGAAGAUACAGUUGGUUCAAUCAUGGUUUACUACUUACUCUUCUAUAUGCUUCUUGUAGGUAUAAGUAGUCUCUGCGAUACAAAAGCAGCUUUCAAUCAACUAGUCAUGUUGGGAAUUGUAUCUAGUAAAUCCUAGUCUUAGUCUAACGGGUGUUGUUCUUUGAUUAGUAGCUCUUUGAUCAUCAUGUAACAUGUCAUUUGCUAAUGCCAUCUUGUAGAACUCUUUUUUUCUCUUUUUUUGUUUGGUCAAAUGGCAUCAUUGAAAUAGCAAGGAUUUGUAUGAUAAAAGAUGAAAAAAAACAUAAGAUAAUAAUCCCACUUAUAGAUUGUUCAUACAAAAGAGAGGGUUCUAAAUUGAGCUUGUUUUACUUGCCACAUCAAAAAGAUCAAAUUAACUAUAGUAGUAAACCCUAUGAUAUUUUCGUCUGCAAAGUCAAUGACGCGAGGAGAAACGGAAUUAAGUAUUUUACUUUUACAAGUAUAAAGAUCCCAAUAUAAUUUUUGGAAGUAUAAGGGAUUAGAAUGCUAACGAUAACUAAUUAUAGGGGACAAUAUGUAAUUAGCCCUCUAAUUCCAUUCUAUCCUCCCAUAAUUCAAAAAUUAAGUAGGUAAUUAAUUAGUUAAUUAUAUGGAUUAAUUCUGUUAUUGCAGAGAGGCUUAACUAUCCCCGAACGCGGUUUGGAAUGGUUUUGGAAGAGGAGAGUAGCGACUCUGGUUGACAUUGUUAUGCCCUCCUCCCCUCGCUUCCUUCUGCCGCGUCACAUUGUGCUUCCGUCAUUCAAUGGGGGUCAUGCAUUGGGAUCUCAAGCCUGAAAUUUUUCUUUUUGUCAACCAAAUGAAGGAUGCUCCUCUUAAGACUAUUGACUUUGGAUUGUCAAUUUUCUUCUGACCAGGUACUCUUCUUCUUUGAGACUUGGUGCUGUUAAAUUUAGAUAGGAAGAACAAGGUGCAUCCAUUUUCGUGUAUAUUCUUGCUCUUGAAGCAUCUGGUAGUUUGUUUGGCGACUCACUCGAGAGAACAUUUUAAUCCAAAGAGCACUAACUCCAGAGAACAAGUAUUGUGUUGCAUAUGCUCUGAAAGCAACUUUCAGCAUCAUAACUGAACUCUUUCAUUUUGUAGGAAACAUUUCUAUGAUGGUGAUCCAAUAGAAUUGCUGCAACUUCAUCAUUCUAUCUCAUGGCGGAUAGUUCCACUGAUUGAUUGCUGGAGCCUUUAUAUCAGCUUGAUGCACACAGUUUUACAGUAUCUUUGUAUGUCUACACAGUUGGUUCUCUUGGAUUGUGUGAAAUGCUUACAUAUGGCAUGUCUCGGAGAAAGUAUGAUAUAGAUUCAUUUAAGAAAAUCACAUUCUUGGUCUGCUAUAGUUUCAUAGCUGCAUCAGUUGUGUACUAAUUUUUUAAAAAUGAAUUUUUUUCUGGUUUAUUAGUCAGCACAUUCUCUUUAUCAGGAGAAAUAUUCACUGAUGUGGUUGGUAGUCCUUACUCCUUACUAUGUCACACCAGAAGUCCUGAAAAAAUGAUAUGGUCCAGAGGCAGAUGUCUGGAGUGCUGGAAUGAUCAUUUAUAUUCUUCUAAGUGGCGUCCCUUCAUUUUGGGCUGUUGAGAAAUUUGUCCUUCGCUUGUAUCUGCUUAGAGUUUGCUUAGACAGUUCAUUGAUAUGCAUCACCAGAUUUAUUUUUAUGUUUGUACAUAUAAACUGAUUUAGUGCUUCAUAGGUUACUAUUUAUCUAUGAUCUUCUCAACUAACAUGUGCUGCAAUUUACAUCACACCCAGAAACCGAGCAAGGUAUAUUUGAAGAGGUUUUACACGGCAAACUUGACUUUCAGUCAGAUCCAUGGCCCAGCAUCUCGGAUAGUGCCAAAGAUCUUGUAAGAAAAAUACUUGUUAGGGAGCCCAAGAAGCGGUUGACUUCUCCUGAUGUUUUGUGUAAGUUAUACUUUAAUCUAGAUGUCUUCGCUGUUGUAAGAAACUACUUGAAAUCAUGACUUUUAUCAGUGUGAUUGAUUUUUUAUUGCAUAAUCAUACUUCAAGAUAACAUUGGAUCAUGAGAACACAUUCAUAAGACAAAAUUUUAGAUGUAAUUAGAUAGUCAAAUUAUCUCGACAUCACUAUCCCAUUACAUGCAGAAGUUAGAAGCUCUCUUGGAUUUGUCAGGUAAUUUGCCUAUCAUGAAUGUCAUGGCUUCUGAGGGAAUUAUGAUGGUAGAGUUCUAUGGUGAACUGAGCUUUCUCAAGUUACUGUUGGCUUCCUCCCAGGUCAUCCUUGGGUUCAGAUUGAUGGAGUGGCUCCUGACAAGCCUCUGGAUUCUGCAGUUCUAUAUCGCCCGAAACAAUUUCUGCAAUGAACAAACUCAAAAAUAUGGCUAUCAGAGUAAGUUUCAGAAGUCGAAUAAUUUUGGAAAUAAGGUGGGUUAUGCUACUACUUUGGAUGCUAUGCCAUGAAUGAUUCUGGAAAGUUCAACCAAACAAAGCUGUGAACUAGAUUUUUUUCUUUUUUUUAUCAGUGUUGGCUGUGACUGUUACACUCAUGUUUACAAUCAUUGCAAAGAAAGUUGAUGUUGCAAUAUUGUUUUCUUACUCAUUUUUUUCAUCUAUUCAAGUUUAUUUUUAUUGCCUAUAAUUUUCAAAGACUAAUAAUUUGGGGUUAACCCACAAGUUAGCUCUGUGGUAAUCAUGCUCUUAUGGAAAUUUGACAACCCAUAUUGGUGAUCUUGAGAUCUGCAACCUUCUCUUAUAGGAGACAAUGACCACUCAUAACUCAUGCGGGCUUAUUUGUUCAGGGGUUUUAUAGUUAGAAGGAAUCCAGAUUGUAGAACCUUUAAUGCAAUUUCCUCUUUAAUUUUAUUUUUGUGUAGUUACUAUACCAUUGACCCUUGUAGCAUGUCUUUUCAUUUUCCUUUUUUGUUGUGGGUCUACUCAUUUUCUUGUUUUCUGCCUUCAAUUUGUAGAUAUUUCUGGUUUUUUGUUUCUUGACAUGGAUGUUUUAUGGUAUACACAGUAUUGUAUACCUUGUAACCUCCUAUUCCUUUUAUUUUCUCCAAAUAUUAUUUUAUAGGUUAUUGCUGAACACCUUUCUGAGGAUGAAAUUGCUGACCUUAAGGAGAUGUUUAAGAUGAUAGAUGCAGACAACAGUGGGCAGAUAACAUUUGAAGAACUCAAGGUUGGAUUGGAUAGGGUUGGUGCUACUCUCAAGGAGUCAGAAAUUUUAUGCACUUAUGCAGGCAGUAGGUAUUCAAACAUCUGAGAGCUGGAUAAUGUGUAUCUAACAAUUGAAAUGUCUUAUAGUAGUAUGCCCCCAUAAAAAAAUUUAAUAUCAUCUUUGAAUAAUACAACCACCUUUCUGUUAUAUGAUGUUUAAAAAUUCAUCCACCAAACUAUAAAACAUUGGUUAGACGGUCACUUCCUUUUCUCAAGAAAAAUAAUAGUUUCUCUUGCAAAUUUUGGUGAAAGAAUCCAUUAUCUUAAUGUGUUUUUUAUCUCUUUUCUUGUUCCUCUCUUUGCUGCAAAAUGGGAAAAUUUUAGGCAGAUGUUGAUAACAGCAGGACCAUUGAUUAUGGCGAGUUUAUUGCUGCCACUUUACAUCUGAACAAGAUAAAGAGGGAGGAUCAUUUAUUUGCAGCCUUCUCUUACCUUGACAAAGAUGGGAGUGGUUACAUAACUCAAGAUGAACUGCAACAGGCUUGCGAAGAGUUUGGUGUCAAAGAUGUGAAGCUGGAGGAUAUGAUCAGAGAAGUAGAUCAAGAUAACGAAGUAUUUAUAUUUUUUACAUCAUACUUCCAAAGCUAUAUUAGGAGAUGCAAUCUGCUCAUCUUUUCAAUCUUUUUUAUUUUUUGGCAGGAUGGACGCAUAGAUUAGAAUGAUUUUAUCGCUAUGAUGCAUAAAGGAAACACUGGAUUCAGCAAGAAAUGAAUGCAAACUAAUUUCAGUAUUGGUUUUAGGGAGGUUUUGAAGCUCGGUUAACGAGGUUAGUUCCGAGGUUCAUAUUCUUAUUUUUUUUGUAAUUAUUACUUGUAGAGUUGUCUUAGGACCUGAUAAUUGGGAACUGAGUCUCUAUGUUGUAUUCUAUUCAUAAGCCUGCAGUAGUUUUGAAACCCAUUACAAGUUUUAGAGAACUUUGAUGCCCUUAAAAUUGCAAAAAUAUGAACAAAUUCACCUGAUGUACAGAUUUGUUUUUGAGAUUUGAUUCAAUAACUACAUGUUGAAGCAUGGUUGUUUUUUGUGCUGAACAGAAUUUGUUCUUAUCAUAUGUUUCUCAGGAUAAUUCCUUGUUUGCUUUUGUUGAUUGUCUCAUCUUUGUUAUCAUGGAGUUUAAAUCAAACUGACUGAUAAAAUUUAAGCUUCUUAGGUUGUGGAUCAAAUCUGAUAUAUAUCGUUAUUUCAAUUCUUACAAAACUUGUACAAAUAUAUGUUGUAACAUAAUUUUUAAUUGAAAAAAACAUUUAUCUUUUAUUGGUUCCGCAUAAUCCAAGUCAAAAAGACAUAUGGAUCAAAUAUCCACAAACAUAUAUUAAUCAAAACCAUUACAUCUCAUGUGAGAUUAAUUGGAGGACUGCUGGUUUGACUUCACCUCACCUACAUAGAAAACAAUUAAACUGCUGUCUGCAGAAGUGAUCCAAUUAGAGACAUUCAUCAUAGAGUACAGCAAGACAACAGCCAUGCUCAAAAGAGCCAAAUUUAUAGUCCAUGAUGUGCCUAUGUUAAUAAUAGCUAUGAUCAAAACCAAUAGAUACAUAAUACAGUCAACUCCUCUUCCACAAGUUCUCUUUCUUUGCUAACCUUCCAUUUAGGUUUCUAUCUCAAAAGCAAUCGAUCAAAGACAGUAGGAACAAAGAUGCAUACAAAUAUAUUACAGUGUCAUGGAAAUAGGAUAGAAGCUAAUGCUGUAAGUAAUGAUCCACACAAUAACCACUCAUCCUUGAACUCUAUAUAUAUAUAUAUAUAUAUAUAUAGAGAGAGAGAGAGAGAGAGAGAGAGAGAGAGAAGAAGAGAGCAAGCACAGAAAAGUCUUCGAAGACAUUAUUGCAACUUGACUUUGUAUCCAAACAAAUUAUGGAUGAUACUGACAACAACAACAUCAUACAGCAAAAGAAAAGAAAAUGUUUCCUAUACAUGUUCUUACACUAGUAUCAACAUUACAACAACUCAAUUCAUCCCCUCCCCUCCCCUCCUACCAUCAUCAUCAUUAUUCUUACCCAGAGAAAAAGGAGGGCAGGUGGUAACAUUUGGUUUCUUAUCUUGUCUUUGUCUCAUUUCCCUUUCUCUCUCUCAGUCUCUCUAUUGGCAGGUGGCAAAGCGAUUGCGUUGACCCAACACCCCAAGCAAACUGCACCCAACUUCUAACAAUUUCCCUGCAUCCAAUCAGCACAGAAUCAUGUCAAUGGUAAUAUAGCACACCAAGGUAUAUGAAUAAUCAAUUGUUCCUACCAACACAGGCAGGCCAUGUUGUCAUUUUCUUUAGAGACGUUAAGAGGUCAACUUCAAACACAAAUUUGAUCCCAAAAGAAUAAAGAGAAAACAUUUUAUGGUCACAAAUCCACCCAUUCGCAUUAAAAUAAAUAUAGCAUGCAUAUAUGUAUUAACAUCAAUCAAUAAAGAAGAAGAGAAGAUAUGUAAGAAACAUGAAGUUGUCCACCAUCACGGGGGCGUGAAGUCCACCGACAGUGCCCAACUCUAAUUACCACAUUAUAUAUAUUUAUAUAUAUGAAGAAUAAUUAAGCUUCUAAUCAACAGUAAUAGUAAUAAUAACAGUAAUGAGACAAGAAAAAGUUGAUGUUUUGGAGAACAAAAAGAAUAAAAGAGGAAUAAUUGUUACCUCUCCUGAGCUUGGCUUUGAGCUUGGCCUUCCCCUUGACCUGGGCGAUCUCGGCCUUGCGGGCGGCGGGAGAGAGGGGUGAGGCCGGCGGCACCUCCUCGUCUGGCGGGAAGAGCACGGCGUCUAUACCCUGGACGGAGAUGCGGCCAUCGGUGUAGAUGUCGGGGUCGAAUAGGUAGGCGGAGCCCUCGGCGGCGCCGAACUUGACGGAGCCGUCAGCCUCACGCGCCAUCACCUUGUGUGGCACCCGCAGCGUGUCAUAGCGCACCUUCCCGAACCGCCGCACCGCGUUGUACAUGCUCUCCUCCGUCUGGUAUUCCGGUAUCAGGUGGUAGUACAUGAUGGCCUCCGGCGCCCCCGGCUCGCUCAGCUGGUCCGCCGUCAGUCGCGCCAUGGCGUCGUCGUUAGGCGCCAGGACGGUCAGCACGUAGCCCUCGGACACUAGCCGCCCCAUUUCCGUUGCCAUGGACGUCAGGUUCACCAGUAUGUCCGCAAACUCGUUGUAGCCGCCGUAGAGGAGCAGGGUCUGGAUGAAGUCCUUCACCUGGCUCUCCCCGUCGAACCAGUGCUUGCCGUGGCCCGGGCCGGGGGCGGGGGCGGGCGCCAGGGACGGGCCGGGAGCCAUGGCGUCGUAGAUCGGGAGCACGGGAGGGGCGCCGGGCGGAACGGGCGGCGCCGGCUUCUUGAGGCGGUGGGUGCGGGGAUCCACCUCCGGCGCGCCGGUGGGGAGCACGGCGGAGAUGGCCGCGAGGCUUCGCCGGCGGUUGAAGUCCUCCUGCACGCAUCGAGGCACGAGCAGGCGCUCGAUGCCGUGGAUCACACCGUCCGGGCGCACCACCGCGUCCGGGUACAACACAGCCGCGUGGCCGACCUUCUUCUCACCUCCGGCGGUCGAUCCAUUGGAGGAGGAGGAGGAGAGGUGGAGGUGGUCGCCGGCGAGUGUAGGGUGGCGAGACUGGGGCCACGCAUCAGAAGGGAUCCUGUCCGGGACGACGUGGUAGAGAAGGAGCGUCUGGAGUGAGCGCAGGUUGCGGGGCUCGAGGAGGAAGCGCUUGAACUCGGGGUCGAGGUCGCGCUCCAGCGCCUCGUUACGGGGGGCAAAGAUGGUGAGGUUGUGGCGGCCAACGGCCGCCUCCAGGGAGGGGAGCAGCAGGGCCUUCUCCACCAGCUCCGCCAGCUCCGUGUAGUGCGAGUCGAGGAGGGCGACGAGCACCGAGUUGGAGUUGAUCUGCCCGCCGGACGACGCGGUGGCCAAUGUGGCCACAGAGGCGUCGGAUUCUGUCAAUGCCUUGGAGGAUGGCGACGACGACGAGGCAGAGACGACGCCGGAGGCAAGGAGGAGGAGGAGGAGUACCGCAGUAGCGCCGCCGAGGGAGGGACGAUCCAUGGCGACGCCGGUAAGGGAGGAAACCGCGGCGAGUCUCUUCGUAUGGCCUUCCGUCCUCCUUUG
rnacentral:lncRNA from 1 species